UCGAACCCACGAUCGCCUUGAUGUUUAGUUUUAAGAGAAAAGGCAAUAGGCCAAUUGAUCCAAGGGAAAUUUUUGUAGAAACUUUAACAAGAAAUAUAUAUAACUUCUCCACACUAGUUAAUUGUUAUUUUCCAAUACUUUUAGAGGGCUUUUAAAAGUAUAGAUUAGACAAUGGUCACAAAUUAAUUGAAAACGGAAAUGGAGGUUUUUCUAACAAGUUAUGGCCGGUCAAAGUGCCCAAAAGAGUCAAAAUUAGCAUAAACAAUCUUAAUUGAAGGUGAAGGAGGCAAAAUUAGGAAAUUUUUUCUGGCCAAACCGCCUUCGGCAGUUUGCCAGCGUGUAGAGCUCGAAAAAAUAAGCAACUUUAAAAAAAGAAUCAGGUCAUUCCGAGGUGUGUGUCAAGAGAUAUCACCUUUCAAAGUUUUGUGAAAUGUUUCCAUAAAAGUUUUGGGAAAGGUUAUAAAACUUAUGGUUAACUGGUAUGCUAUUUUAACAUACAUCAUUCCUUGAUUUCUAGAUUACGAGCUACCCUCUUACAUGUAUGCCCUGGCUAUUCUAUUUAAUUGUCAGUACUGAUUAUGUUCUGAUUACCAGCUACUGUCUUAAAACUUGCAUGAAAGUUAACAUUGCCAUGGCUUACUUGGAUGAAGAGGCUGCAAAACCAAAUCAUAUUUUCUGACUAGGUUUCUUUCAGAGCUAUGGCCACCCACAAUAAUAAGUAUAUAAAUUUACUGGCGCGUUGAACUGCAUCAGAAUAUUGCAUGUUAAAACUUGCAUGAAAGUUUGCAUGCAUAUUGCCGUGGGAGAUUUGAAUCAUUAACAAACUCGUGACCAAUUCUUUGAAUCAUUGGCUGUGUCGUGACCCACGUUAAGCGGAACAAAUCCCCGGACCCCAAUCUUUUUUAAAAAGUAGUAGAAGCGGUAUAUAAAAUUUUCUAUGGACUCCAUAAAAUAAUUUAGUUGGACCCUGUAACAAUGAUAGUGAGCCUGGUGUAGUGGUAAAACCCCUUGUUUAUACACAAGAGGUCCCUAGUUCGAUACCUGUUUGUUUUGUUUUUUUGUGUUUUUUUAAACCUGAAUCACUCCAUUUUUUUUUUCUAUUUCAAUUUUUUCUCACCUGUAUUUACCUUAAACUGUAUUUUUAACAUAAAAUACUGCCCUCCUUCAAAUAUUUUUAACGAAACAAAAUUAACAAACUACAGCAACUCAUAAUUCGCGAUCAUUUUUUUUUGUGAGGACCCUUUUGUCAUCGAUGUUGUGCUCAGAAAUGCGCAGAAGUUAUUCAACUUUGUCUUGCACAUACAUCCUCUAUAACCUACUCAUAAUGCGCGGAAGUUAAUCAACUUUCUCUUGCACAACUCUUGCACAUCCCAUCAUGGAAGACUCUUGCCGCCCACAAAGAUUUUGAUGUUUUAUCGUAUCUUCAUCUAACCAAAGAAAUUAUGUCAUCUCUAACUGAUUGUUGUAAAACUGUAAUCAUUUUUUGUUCGUUAGAGAAAUCAUCUUUAUCAUCUUUAGUAUAAUUAACAAAUGAUAUUUCAACACCUUCAUUAACUUUUUGGAGGAUUAUAUCCUAUUAUAAUCCUCUAUGUUCAUAAGUUUAUGUUGUUUUUGAUAGGCUCAGAACAUCGUUAUAAGUAGUACCAUAGCAGCUUGAUAUAUGUCGAGUAAAAUUUCCCGUACCUUACUUACUAUCAAACAUGAGAACAUGACCACAUUUGUUCCUAUACUCGCAUUCGUUUAUUAGAUCAAUCGUUCACUUUUAUACCUCCAUUAUACCCCGUUAUUCUUCGUCGUUCAUACACACUUCGUUUACGAUCAAAUCUGUUUAUGCAUUCGAAUUCUAAACCACUUUCUUACUGUUUAAAACUAUAUUUUCCAUCUUUCACUUAAAUACAAACAUACUUACUUUCCCGUCACCUCCCAAAAUCGUUUUAAUUAAUAUGCCUAAGUUUCUCGUUCUUCAUCAAUGAAUAAUUUCCUACAAACAUGUGAUUUAAUAUUCCUAUUUGAAACCAACGAAACUCAUCUUACAAAUUACAGUGCCGUCACACUUUUCGUCAAAAUGCUUACUGUCAUUUAAUACGAAGCUUUACUUCUUAGAUAGCAAAAUUGCUCCCACUCAUCUUGGUUAUUCAUAAAGCCUUGCGUCUAAUCAUUUUAACCCUAAUCAUUCACUAAACCUCACACAAAAAUCCAAGCACGUACUUUCACUUUCUUUGGUUCU
rnacentral:rRNA from 1 species